rnacentral:rRNA from 1 species
GGGACGAACGCUGGCGGCGUGCUUAACACAUGCAAGUCGAGCGGAAAGGCCCUUCGGGGUACUCGAGCGGCGAACGGGUGAGUAACACGUGAGCAACCUGCCCCUGGCUCUGGGAUAGCCUCCGGAAACGGGGAUUAAUACCGGACAUGACCCUUGACCGCAUGGUUGGGGGGUGGAAAGUUUUCGGUCCAGGGUGGGGCUCGCGGCCUAUCAGCUUGUUGGGGGGUGACGGCCUACCAAGGCGACGACGGGUAGCC